rnacentral:rRNA from 1 species
UACGUAGGGUGCGAGCGUUAAUCGGAAUUACUGGGCGUAAAGUGUGCGCAGGCGGCCGCUCAAGUCGAGUGUGAAAGCCCCGGGCUUAACUUGGGAAUUGCGCUCGAAACUACGUGGCUGGAGUGUGGCAGAGGAAGGUGGAAUUCCAGGUGUAGCGGUGAAAUGCGUAGAGAUCUGGAGGAACACCGAUGGCGAAGGCAGCCUUCUGGGCCAACACUGACGCUCAUGCACGAAAGCGUGGGGAGCAAACAGG